GCUGCGGUGUCCGAGUGGUUAAGGAGUUUGACUUGAAUAUCUGGUCCAAGUUAUCAAAUGGGUUACGCCCGCACAGGUUCGAAUCCUGUCCGCAGCG
rnacentral:tRNA from 1 species